rnacentral:rRNA from 1 species
UAACAGAGAGUUCGAUCAUGGCUCGAUUGAACGCUGGCGGAUGCUUUACACAGUAAGCAAGUCGAACGGCAGCACGGACUUCGGUCUGGUGGCGAGUGGCGAACGGGUGAGUAAUGUAUCGGAACGUGCCUAGUAGCGGGGGAUAACUACGCGAAAGCGGGGUAGCUAAUACUGCAUACGUAAACCCUUCGGGGGAAAGCGGGGGGACCUUCGGCCUGCAAUUAUUAGAGCGGCCGAUAUCGGAUUAGCUAGUUGGUGGGGUAAACGGCCCACUGCUGGGCGACGAUCCGUGGCUGGACGGAGAGGGACGACCAGCCACUGGGACUGAGACACGGCCCAGACUCCUACGGGAGGCAGCAGGGAAUUUUGACAAUGGGGAAACCCUGAUCCAGCCAUCCCGCGUGUGCGAUGAAGGCCUUCAAGCCAAAAGCACCUUUGGCAGGAAAGAAACGGCACGGAUAACAUUCCUGCGCAACUGACGGUACCUGCAGAAUACACCGCCAACUGAGACGUGCCAGCAGCCAUGGUAAGGCCGCAGGGGCAAGCGUUAAUCGGAAUUUACUGGGCGGAAGCGCAGGCGGUUCGAAAGAAAGAUGUGAAAUCCCAGAGCUUAACUUUGAACUGCAUUUUUAACUACCGAGCUAGAGUGUGUCAGAGGGAGGUGGAAUUCCGCGUGUAGCAGUGAAAUGCGUAGAUAUGCGGAGGAACACCGAUGGCGAAGGCAGCCCUGGGAUAACACUGACGCUCAUGCACGAAAGCGUGGGGAGUGUAAACAGGAUUAGAUACCCUGGUAGUCCACGCCCUAAACGAUGUCAACUAUUGCUGGGGCCCGGGCCUUGGUAGCGCAGCUAACGUGGAAGUUGACCGCCUGGGGAGUACGGUCGCAAGAUUGAAAACUCAAAGGAAUUGACGGGGACCCGCACAAGCGGUGGAUGAUGUGGAUUAAUUGAUGCAACGCGAAAACCUUUACCUACCCUUGACAUGUCUGGAAUCCCGAAGAGAUUUGGGAGUGUCAGCAAGAGAACCGGAACACAGGUGCUGCAUGGCUGUCGUCAGCUCGUGUCGUGAGAUGUUGGGUUAAGUCCCCGCAACGAGCGCAACCUUUGUCAUUAUUGCUACGAAAGGGCACUCUAUCGAGAUCGCCGGUGACAAACUGAGGAAGGUGGAUGACGCCCAAGUCCUCAUGGUCUUAUGGGUAGGCUUCACACGUCAUACAAUGGUCGGGACAGAGGGUCGCCAACUCCGCGAGGGAGCCAAUCCCAGAAACCCGAUCGUAGUCUUGAUCGCAGUUCGUAACCUGACUGCGGAAGUCGGAACGCCAGUAAUCAUGGAUCAGCAUGUCGUGGUGAAUACGUUCCCGGGUCUUGUACACACCGCCCGUCACACCAUGGGGAGUGGGUUUUACCAGAAGUAGUUAGCCUAACCGUAAGGAGGGAAAGGAUGCCACCACGGUAGGAUUCAUGACUGGGGUAAUGUAACAAGGUAA